AUACACACCUCCUUACCGAAGAUCAACCGAGUGUGUAAUGUACCACUCAAAUAUAAGACUAUCAUUGAGAAUGAUGAUACACCAUACAUCAUUGAGAAUAAUGUUCUCCUUGACCUAUUCGAAGAUUGUUAUGAGUAGAGACUGACAAUUGGCCUGAAAUCUUGAUAUCCAAAAUGAACUCCUUAUACAUCAACUAAGUUUGGACUAUGAUUGAAGCAUCGAUGAGUAUGACCCAACAGGUUGCUAUCAAGGAUGUCAAUCCAGAUUUUUGCUAUUGCCAC
rnacentral:lncRNA from 1 species